CGGGACGGCUGCGCUCACCGCACGCUGCUUGUCUGCGCUGCUUCCUCAGGGAGAUGCUUACCCGCACGUGGUGACUACUUGUAUGUCCCUGCAUGGCACCAAUGGCUCUGCCUGAGUGGACCAGAGCGGAACCAGCAUCACCCACUGCUUCCUCCAAAGAUCCAGCCCUGGUGCACAUAACCUCACUCCUCAUUAGGCAUCACAGCGUGAUAAAGGUCAACCCGGACAGACAAUGCCACCAGUGCCUGUUUGAUAUGUGAGUGCUAUUGGCGUCCAUUGCCACCGUUUCCCUGGUAACACAGUAACCAUUAAUUUUCAAUUAAAGUAGACAAAAAGCCCGAUGACAGCUCCAGGUCUGCUGAAGAUGUCAAGAAUCCGUAUUAAUAUACAGCAAGAGAGCAUAAUUGUGUGUCCAUCUUCCCGAGCAACGAAAAUGGAGGGAUAAUUACCAGCUAGAAAGCCACUCUGUAAUUUUGUUCUUAC
rnacentral:lncRNA from 14 species